rnacentral:rRNA from 1 species
GAGUAAUGCGUGACCAACCUGCCCCAUGCUCCAGAAUAGCUCUUGGAAACGGGUGGUAAUGCUGGAUGCUCCAACUUGACGCAUAUCUUGUUGGGAAAGUGUUUAGUGGCAUGGGAUGGGGUCGCGUCCUAUCAGCUUGUAGGCGGGGUAAUGGCCCACCUAGGCUUCGACGGGUAGCCGGCCUGAGAGGGCGGACGGCCACAUUGGGACUGAGAUACGGCCCAGACUCCUACGGGAGGCAGCAGCG